rnacentral:rRNA from 1 species
CCUACGGGUGGCAGCAGUAGGGAAUCUUCGUCAAUGGGCGCAAGCCUGAACGAGCAAUGCCGCGUGAACGAGGAAGGUCUUCGGAUCGUAAAGUUCUGUUGAAGGGGAAAAAGAGCGGAGAGAGGAAAUGGUCUCCGAUUGAUAUUACCCUUCGAGGCAGUCACGGCUAACUACGUGCCAGCAGCCGCGGUAAUACGUAGGUGGCGAGCGUUAUCCGGAAUGAUUGGGCGUAAAGGGUGCGUAGGCGGCCUGCUAAGUCUGGAGUGAAAGGUACCGGCUCAACCGGUACAGGCUCUGGAAACUGGCGGGCUAGAGAGCAGGAGAGGGCGGUGGAACUCCAUGUGUAGCGGUAAAAUGCGUAGAUAUAUGGAAGAACACCAGUGGCGAAGGCGGCCGCCUGGCCUGGUACUGACGCUGAGGCACGAAAGCGUGGGGAGCAAAUAGGAUUAGAUACCCCAGUAGU